UGGGGAAUAUUGCACAAUGGGGGGAACCCUGAUGCAGCAACGCCGCGUGAGUGAAGAAGUAUCUCGGUAUGUAAAGCUCUAUCAGCAGGGAAGAAGCAGGACGGUACCUGACUAAGAAGCCCCGGCUAACUACGUGCCAGCAGCCGCGGUAAUACGUAGGGGGCAAGCGUUAUCCGGAUUUACUGGGUGUAAAGGGAGCGUAGACGGCCGAGCAAGUCUGAAGUGAAAGCCCGUGGCUCAACCGCGGAACUGCUUUGGAAACUGUUAGGCUGGAGUGCUGGAGAGGCAAGCGGAAUUCCUAGUGUAGCGGUGAAAUGCGUAGAUAUUAGGAGGAACACCAGUGGCGAAGGCGGCUUGCUGGACAGUGACUGACGUUGAGGCUCGAAAGCGUGGGGAGCAAACAGG
rnacentral:rRNA from 1 species